GGGGCUUUAGCUCAGCUGGGAGAGCGGUUGCUUUGCAAGCAUCAGGUCAUCGGUUCGAUCCCGAUAAGCUCCACCACUUGCCAUCA
rnacentral:tRNA from 1 species